CGUGAACUGGCCCGGGAGCGUAACGCGAAGAAGCAGGGCGGCAACAAGGCCAAGAAGGAAGACGGAUUGACACACGAGCAGCGCAAACAACGAUGUUCUCCAACGUAGUGGGCAAACCAUAGUGCGCGACUGCCAAAGAGUGAACAUCGUUGUGUUGCAACAAAGAAUCGUGUGACGCCGACAUCAUGCGA
rnacentral:misc_RNA from 1 species